rnacentral:lncRNA from 1 species
AUCCCUAUCUGUUCUUCUUAAUUGUUGAGUAGGUUGUGGGCCAUAAGGAUGUUGUUUUAGGAAAUGAUCACCAAUGACUGGUGAUUUGGGUUUUUUGUAAGCAAUUAGGGACACAUAUGUAACGGUAGGUGAAACAGGGAAAGAACUAGGUGACAUAUCAUUAGGUGUAGUAGAUGACAUUUCAUUAGGUGUGACUCUUGAAACUCCAUGAACCUCUGGAACAUAGUCUGAAAAAUGAACCUCUAGAACAUGGUCUGAAAAAAGAUCCUCAAUAUUAUUCAAACAUACAAGAUGUGGAAUUGAAUUAGGUACAAUAGG